GAUGAACGCUGGCGGUAUGCCUUACACAUGCAAGUCGAACGGGAAUUAGCUUCGGUUAAUUCUAGUGGCGGACGGGUGAGUAACACGUGAGAAUUCGCCUUUAGGAGGGGGAUAACGAGUGGAAACAUUCGCUAAAACCCCAUAUGCCCCAGGGUGAAAAAGAGGUUAAUAGUAAAACUGAAUAACCUCUGCCUGAAGAGAAGCUCGCGGCUGAUUAGCUAGUUGGUAGGGUAAUGGCCUACCAAGGCGACGAUCAGUAGCUGGUCUGAGAGGACGAUCAGCCACACUGGAACUGAGACACGGUCCAGACUCCUACGGGAGGCAGCGGUGAGGAAUUUUCUGCAGUGGGCGAAAGCCUGACAGAGCAAUACCGCGUGAGGGAUGAAGACUUACUGAGUUGUAAACCUCGGUGCCUUAAGGAAGAAGAUCUGACGGUACUUAAGGUGGAAAGCAUCGGCUAACUCCGUGCCAGCCGCCGCGGUAAUAC
rnacentral:rRNA from 1 species